CGAGCAGGCAAGACAGCGGCGUGCGCAAGCCGAAAGGCUGCGCAUGAGGAAAGUCCGGGCUUCACAGGGCGGGAUAGCUGCUAACGGCAGCCGAAGGCGACUUCAGGGAAAGUGCAACAGAGAGAUACCGCCGGUUUUUCCGGCAAGGGUGGAAAGGCGAGGUAAGAGCUCACCGGCGGCGCGGCGACGCGCCGGCCAUGCAAACCCUAUCCGAAGCAACACCGCACCGAGGGCAAAACGGCGGCCCGCCGGCCCUCAUCAGGUGGCUGGAGCCGCGCGGCGACGCGCGGCCAAGAUAGAUCGUUGUCAUUUACAGAACCCGGCUUAUCAGUCUGGUCGCAAA
rnacentral:RNase_P_RNA from 1 species